rnacentral:tRNA from 1 species
GCUUAUUUAGUAUAAAUAGUAUUUCCGCCUUCCACGCGGACGGACAGAAAAUUCUGAAUAAGUA